GGGGAUUCUGGAAUAUUGCGCUAAGCAAAAGCUGGCCUCGGUGACCGACGCGCAAAACGUGAAAAACCAGGUGCUGGGUAAACUGGGUCUCGACACGCA
rnacentral:misc_RNA from 1 species